rnacentral:rRNA from 1 species
UACGGGGGGGGCAAGCGUUGUUCGGAAUUACUGGGCGUAAAGGGCUCGUAGGCGGCCAACUAAGUCAGACGUGAAAUCCCCAGGCUCAACCUGGGAACUGCGUCUGAUACUGGAUGGCUUGAAUCCGGGAGAGGGAUGCAGAAUUCCAGGUGUAGCGGUGAAAUGCGUAGGUAUCUGGAGGAAUAUCGGUGGCGAAGGCGGCAUCCUGGACCGGCAUUGACGCUGAGGAGCGAAAGCCAGGGGAGCAAACGGG